rnacentral:rRNA from 1 species
UGGCGGACGGGUGAGUAACGCGUGGGUAACCUGCCUUACACAGGGGGAUAACACCUGGAAACAGGUGCUAAUACCGCAUAAGCGCACAGGGCCGCAUGGCCCGGUGUGAAAAACUCCGGUGGUGUAAGAUGGACCCGCGUCUGAUUAGCUUGUUGGCGGGGUAGAGGCCCACCAAGGCGACGAUCAGUAGCCGGCCUGAGAGGGCGGACGGCCACAUUGGGACUGAGACACGGCCCAGACUCCUACGGAAGGCAGCAG